rnacentral:rRNA from 1 species
CAGAGCCGCGGUAAUACGUAGGGUGCGAGCGUUAAUCGGAAUUACUGGGCGUAAAGCGUGCGCAGGCGGUUAUAUAAGACAGAUGUGAAAUCCCCGGGCUCAACCUGGGACCUGCAUUUGUGACUGUAUAGCUAGAGUACGGUAGAGGGGGAUGGAAUUCCGCGUGUAGCAGUGAAAUGCGUAGAUAUGCGGAGGAACACCGAUGGCGAAGGCAAUCCCCUGGACCUGUACUGACGCUCAUGCACGAAAGCGUGGGGAGCAAACAAGAUUAGAUACCCGGGUAGUCCCUGUCUCUUAUACC